rnacentral:lncRNA from 1 species
AGCCAUGGAAGGAUUUGUUCUUGAAGAUGAAGGUUUGGAUUUUUUGUUUUUUACCCAAAAUUUUCAGGAAAAGAAUCGUAGCCAGAGAAGUGAAGUGAAGGAAGGAGGGAAGAUUUUGAGAAGAUGGACACAGGGGUAUAAUGGUCUUUUCGCAACUCAUUUAACCAAUAAACAGAGCCACGUCAGCUAAUCAGUGAUGUGGCAGUGAUUAAGUGGGGAGAGGGACGAAAUCUUAAAUGAUUAAUUUUUAUAGGGGCAAAAUGGGAGGAUUAGUAAGCUCAGGGAUGAAAAAUCAAAUGGCCUAUAAUUG